rnacentral:pre_miRNA from 1 species
CACUGAAUCACCUGGAGGUCUUGUUAAAAAGCAGAUUUUGACUCAAUAAGUCUUUGAUGGGCAUGAAAUUCUGCAUUUCUAAAAGUUCCCAGGUGAUGUCAAU